UGGGCACUCGGUAGAGGGGUUUUGAAUAUCUCUCUGCCUGAGCUAACGCGUUAAGUGCCCCGCCUGGGGAGUACGGCCGCAAAGGCUAAAACUCAAAAGAAUUGACGGGGGCUCGCACAAGCGGUGGAGCAUGUGGCUUAAUUCGAUGCAACACGAAGAACCUUACCGGGGCUCGACCCCUGCGCGAUCAAAGCGCGGUCCGAAAGGACAACCAACGGUAUCCAGUCCGUAGCUGUCAUCAGGUGUUGCAUGGCUGUCGUCAGCUCGUGUCGUGAGACGUUGGGUUA
rnacentral:rRNA from 1 species